rnacentral:rRNA from 1 species
GGAUGGACUCGCGGCCUAUCAGCUUGUUGGUGAGGUAAUGGCUCACCAAGGCGACGACGGGUAGCCGGCCUGAGAGGGUGACCGGCCACACUGGGACUGAGACACGGCCCAGACUCCUACGGGAGGCAGCAGUGGGGAAUAUUGCACAAUGGGCGAAAGCCUGAUGCAGCAACGCCGCGUGAGGGAUGACGGCCUUCGGGUUGUAAACCUCUUUUAGUAGGGAAGAAGGGAGCUUGCUCUUGACGGUACCUGCAGAAAAAGCACCGGCUAACUACGUGCCAGCAGCCGCGGUAAUACGUAGGGUGCAAGCGUUGUCCGGAAUUAUUGGGCGUAAAGAGCUCGUAGGCGGUUUGUCGCGUCUGCUGUGAAAUCCCGAGGCUCAACCUCGGGCUUGCAGUGGGUACGGGCAGACUAGAGUGCGGUAGGGGAGAUUGGAAUUCCUGGUGUAGCGGUGGAAUGCGCAGAUAUCAGGAGGAACACCGAUGGCGAAGGCAGAUCUCUGGGCCGUAACUGACGCUGAGGAGCGAAAGCGUGGGGAGCGAACAGGAUUAGAUACCCUGGUAGUCCACGCCGUAAACGUUGGGCGCUAGAUGUAGGGACCUUUCCACGGUUUCUGUGUCGUAGCUAACGCAUUAAGCGCCCCGCCUGGGGAGUACGGCCGCAAGGCUAAAACUCAAAGGAAUUGACGGGGGCCCGCACAAGCGGCGGAGCAUGCGGAUUAAUUCGAUGCAACGCGAAGAACCUUACCAAGGCUUGACAUACACCGGAAACGGCCAGAGAUGGUUGCCCCCUUGUGGUCGGUGUACAGGUGGUGCAUGGUUGUCGUCAGCUCGUGUCGUGAGAUGUUGGGUUAAGUCCCGCAACGAGCGCAACCCUCGUUCUAUGUUGCCAGCGCGUUAUGGCGGGGACUCAUAGGAGACUGCCGGGGUCAACUCGGAGGAAGGUGGGGAUGACGUCAAAUCAUCAUGCCCCUUAUGUCUUGGGCUUCACGCAUGCUACAAUGGCCGGUACAAAGGGCUGCGAUACCGUAAGGUGG